rnacentral:tRNA from 1 species
GGGGUUGUAGCUCAGUGGUAGAGCGCUUGCCUCACAUGCAUUAGACCCUGGGUUUGAUCCUCAACACCA